rnacentral:lncRNA from 1 species
CCCGGAUGUUGCCACUUAUCAUCAUUUGGUAGAUCUUCAAUUUGACCGCCUUCAUCUCAGCCAUUGAGGGAUCCUAUAUAUAGGGUCACUCUCAGCCAAAUUUUCACUUUUCACUGCUUUUACUACUGGGACUCUGCCAGAUUGUUACCCCAAUGCUCAAGGUUAUCGCUCCCAACCUUCAGGUCAACUUCAUCUUUCUUUUGAGUCUUUUCCUCUUUCCUC